rnacentral:rRNA from 1 species
GCCUACGGGACGCAGCAGUGGGGAAUAUUGCACAAUGGGGGGAACCCUGAUGCGGCGACGCCGCGUGGGCGAGGAAGUAUUUCGGUAUGUAAAGCCCUAUCGGCAGGGAAGAAGAGAUGACGGUACCUGAAUAAGAAGCACCGGCUAAAUACGUGCCAGCAGCCGCGGGAAUACGUAGGGGGCAAGUGUUAUCCGGAUUUACUGGGUGUAAAGGGAGCGUAGACGGUCCUGCAAGCCAGAUGUGAAAGCCCGGGGCUCAACCCCGGGACUGCAUUUGGAACUGUAAGGCUAGAG